CCCACAUUGGCCUCCAUACUGGAUCAGCAUGUCACUCCAUACUGUGUCCGGAACAUGCCCAAGUACUUUCCUGCCUCGGGGCUACUGCCUGGAAUGCUCUUCCCUUAAUACACCAAGACUGACCCCUCUUCUUCCUCCUCCUUUUCAACCUACUUAACAAGAAGAUGAUGAGGAUGAAGACCUUUAUGAAGAUCCACUUCCACUUAAUGAAUAGCAGAAUAAUGAUCUCCAGAGAUGUCUACAUCCUAACCCCUG
rnacentral:lncRNA from 1 species